rnacentral:rRNA from 1 species
GGCGGACGGGUGAGUAAUGCUUGGGAACAUGCCUUGAGGUGGGGGACAACAGUUGGAAACGACUGCUAAUACCGCAUAAUGUCUACGGACCAAAGGGGGCUUCGGCUCUCGCCUUUAGAUUGGCCCAAGUGGGAUUAGCUAGUUGGUGAGGUAAUGGCUCACCAAGGCGACGAUCCCUAGCUGGUUUGAGAGGAUGAUCAGCCACACUGGGACUGAGACACGGCCCAGACUCCUACGGGAGGCAGCAGUGGGGAAUAUUGCACAAUGGGCGCAAGCCUGAUGCAGCCAUGCCGCGUGUGUGAAGAAGGCCUUCGGGUUGUAAAGCACUUUCAGUCAGGAGGAAAGCGUGGUGGUUAAUACCCAUCAUGUGUGACGUUACUGACAGAAGAAGCACCGGCUAACUCCGUGCCAGCAGCCGCGGUAAUACGGAGGGUGCGAGCGUUAAUCGGAAUUACUGGGCGUAAAGCGUACGCAGGCGGUUUGUU